rnacentral:rRNA from 1 species
AUUGAACGCUGGCGGCAGGCCUAACACAUGCAAGUCGAGCGAGCGGCGGACGGGUGAGUCAUGUCUGGGAAACUGCCUGAUGGAGGGGGAUAACUACUGGAAACGGUAGCUAAUACCGCAUACCAUCAGAUGUGCCCAGAUGGGAUUAGCUAGUGGGUGGGGUAACGGAUCACCUAGGCGACGAUCCCUAGCUGGUCUGAGAGGAUGACCAGCCAGACUGGAACUGAGACACGGUCCAGACUCCUACGGGAGGCAGCAGUGGGGAAUAUUGCACAAUGGGCGAAAGCCUGAUGCAGCCAUGCCGCGUGUGUGAAGAAGGCCUUCGGGUUGUAAAGUACUUUCAGCGAGGAGGCGUUACCCGCAGAAGAAGCACCGGCUAACUCCGUGCCAGCAGCCGCGGUAAUAC